rnacentral:rRNA from 1 species
GAUGAACGCUAGCUACAGGCUUAACACAUGCAAGUCGAGGGGUAGCAGGGUAGCAAUACCGCUGACGACCGGCGCACGGGUGAGUAACACGUAUCCAACCUUCCCAUAACUCUGGGAUAGCCUUUCGAAAGAAAGAUUAAUACCCGAUAGUACUUUUUCAAGGCAUCUUGAGAAAGUUAAAGAUUUAUUGGUUAUGGAUGGGGAUGCGUUCCAUUAGAUAGUUGGUGAGGUAACGGCUCACCAAGUCUUCGAUGGAUAGGGGUUCUGAGAGGAAGGUCCCCCACAUUGGUACUGAGACACGGACCAAACUCCUACGGGAGGCAGCAGUGAGGAAUAUUGGUCAAUGGGCGAGAGCCUGAACCAGCCAAGUAGCGUGAAGGAUGAAGGUCCUAUGGAUUGUAAACUUCUUUUAUAGUAGAAUAAAGUGACCUACGUGUAGGCUUUUGUAUGUAUACUAUGAAUAAGGAUCGGCUAACUCCGUGCCAGCCGCCGCCGUAA